rnacentral:rRNA from 1 species
UACGUAGGGUGCAAGCGUUGUCCGGAAUUAUUGGGCGUAAAGGGCUCGUAGGCGGUCCGUCACGUCGGGAGUGAAAACUCGGGGCUCAACCCCGAGCCUGCUUUCGAUACGGGCGGACUAGAGGUAGGUAGGGGAGAACGGAAUUCCUGGUGUAGCGGUGGAAUGCGCAGAUAUCAGGAGGAACACCGGUGGCGAAGGCGGGUCUCUGGGCCGAUACUGACGCUGAGGAGCGAAAGCGUGGGGAGCGAACAGG